rnacentral:rRNA from 1 species
GGGCAAGCGUUAUCCGGAUUUACUGGGUGUAAAGGGAGCGCAGACGGCCAAGCAAGUCUGAAGUGAAAUGCAUGGGCUCAACCCAUGAAUUGCUUUGGAAACUGUUAGGCUUGAGUGUCGGAGAGGUAAGCGGAAUUCCUAGUGUAGCGGUGAAAUGCGUAGAUAUUAGGAGGAACACCGGAGGCGAAGGCGGCUUACUGGACGACAACUGACGUUGAGGCUCGAAGGCGUGGGGAGCAAACAGGAUUAGAUACCCUGGUAGUCAAGGGCG